rnacentral:rRNA from 1 species
UGGGGAAUAUUGCACAAUGGGCGCAAGCCUGAUGCAGCCAUGCCGCGUGUAUGAAGAAGGCCUUCGGGUUGUAAAGUACUUUCAGCGAGGAGGAAGGCGUUGUGGUUAAUAACCGCAACGAUUGACGUUACUCGCAGAAGAAGCACCGGCUAACUCCGUGCCAGCAGCCGCGGUAAUACGGAGGGUGCAAGCGUUAAUCGGAAUUACUGGGCGUAAAGCGCACGCAGGCGGUUUGUCAAGGCGGAUGUGAAAUCCCCGGGCUCAACCUGGGAACUGCAUCCGAAACUGGCAGGCUAGAGUCUUGUAGAGGGGGGUAGAAUUCCAGGUGUAGCGGUGAAAUGCGUAGAGAUCUGGAGGAAUACCGGUGGCGAAGGCGGCCCCCUGGACAAAGACUGACGCUCAGGUGCGAAAGCGUGGGGAGCAAACA